UGGGCUGUGCUGUGAUGGCUGCAACAUUACCAGACAACAGAGAGUUUUCAGCUCCGCCCCAAUCUUGUGGGAACAGUGCGGGGUGUGCUCCAGCUUGGACUGCAAGAAUUUGUUCUCCUCAUGGCCCCAGGGUGCUGCUGCAGGAACACUCAGUAAGGCAAGACUGUCAACUCGCAUGGCGCUCUUCCUCAAGCCCAUGGACAUCCCUGCAGGGCCGCAGCUGUUCAGUGGCGGAGCAGGUGGUGCUUACAUCCAACCAGUCCAAGGCCAAGUCGAAGACUCACCACCACCAUCCCAUGCUCUUUCCAAAAGAACAAAACGAAACAAGACGACGACGACAGCAACAACAACAGGAAGACAUUUUCAUCCUUGGGCAUGGGAGAACACAAUACUCUUCU
ensembl:lncRNA